UCUUUGUUAGGACAUGAACCUGAAGAGGAUGACUUGGAUGGAUCAUGACUUAAUAUGACAUGGUUAGCAAUGAAAUUUCCCACUCUACCCCUUGAUGUUGAUGAUGUUGUUAUUCAGCGUUAUGCUAGAGCAUAUAUCUUACAACUUAUUGAAGGAUAUUUAUUUGAAGACAAGUCUAGUUGCUUUGUGCAUCUCAUGUUUCUUCCAUUGUUAUCAGAUUUUAGGGUUGUUGGUGGGUAUAGCUAGGGUAGUGCUUACUUAGCUUGACUCUAUAGGGAGAUGUGUCAAUCAUCCCAUGUUUAGGCACGUGAUAUAGUUGGCCCACUUAUAUUAUUACAACUAUGGGCAUGGGAGAGGUUUCCAUGUAUUGCCUCUAAAAAAUUGAAGGUAUUUCCACAUGAUAUCAUUGGUGAUGAUGGUCUUCCAUUCCCACCACCUCUAUUGGGUACAUGGUAUAUACAAAAAUUGAUGUUUUCUUGUAAAAAUUUCAUUGAGAACUUCACUUACAUUUGAUCUCAACUAACAUGUUAUUACUUUAUCUUAGAUGGAAAGAUGUUUUCUCUAUCACAAAGGUAUCCACGCAUGUCUUUGGCCAAUAUAGAUUUAUCUUUGAUAUACAAAGGUCAAGUCACAUUAUAUGGAAGCUUUACACGUUUGAUAUCAUAUUAACAUUGCCAGACUAUUGGACUAUUGGUGUACUAUGUCACCACUUAUUUGUUUCCAUAUUGUUGAGUGGCAUAGGCCAAACUGAGUUCUACACCAAUUUGGUAUGAGUCGGCACAUACUAGAGUCAUGUGAUACUAGCAUUAAAUUACAUAGCAUUAACUUGCAAGGUUGACAUGAUUUUGAUAGGGGGGUUGAGCAUCAAGAGUAUAAAGAGAUAUGGAACCACCGCUGUGAUCAUGUAGUUAGUAGUGAGUUAGUAUCUGGGAUAUUUCAUAUUAUAACCCUUAUAUGCAAUGGUAUUUUUUUAUCACACAUCGAUUUAUUACUAAGUAAGGAUCCUUCCAUGAACUUGUGGUAAUUUCAAGAAUAUUACUUUUUCAUUCAUUUUCAUUUGGUUUCCCUUUAACUAACAUUUUCUACUUUGGACAUGUAGGCCAAUAGCUUGGAACGAAUAAAUGAGUUGUCAAGGCCAAAUACUCCAGCAACAACAAAGGAAAAUAUACACUCAUUGUCUUAUAAGACCUUGCAAACAGUGGAUGAGAUGAGUCAAUUACAUAUUUGUCCCCCUACCACGGUCUCACACUUAUCUUCACAACAAGGUAGGAAAGACAGGAAGAAAGGAAGGUGUAGAAGACGUAUUAUGGAGCAAGAUCAACACUCUCAGAGUCCUAUAACACCUAUUAUUGAGGAGCAGAUUCCUAUAGAAGAUCGACCAUCCACAUCAUGCCAAACACUUGUUCAACCUUAUAAC
rnacentral:lncRNA from 1 species